UUAAUUAGCAACGCAGUGAUAGGUAGAAGAAGUGAAGAACUGAAGAAGAUAAUAAUAAAAGUAAAUAAAUAAAGAAAUAGUAGAGAGUAACACGCGCAAAGCUAUAACUUCGCUCAACUGGACCAGUAGAUUGCUUCCACAUUCAAACAGUCUCCUCUUGUUCUUCUUCAACUCUUCAGCAGAAUCCAAUGGAUUCUGCAAUCUCCGUCACCACACCGGCGCAGAUGGCACUCUUCAAGGCUCUCCACCGCCACUUCGCCGCCACGGCUCCUCAUCGCCUUCCUCUUCUCCGCCGCAGCCUCAAAUGCGCAGUCAAUUCCUACGCCUCCCGCCACAUUCCGAGCUCACCCGCGGUUUUCAGUUUCUCGCCGUCGCUCAGUGCCUUCCGCGUGCUGCUUCCGCCGCGACCUCCGUGCCGUUUACGGUGCGUUUCAAGCUCCGUCGCUUCCUUCGCUUCUGAAGCCGGCGGCGGAGGCUUCGGCGGAGCCGGAACUGGCGGCGAAGGAGGAGGAGGAGGCGGCGGCGGCGAGUCUGGAGACGGUAGCGUGAAGUUAGUUGGAGACGCGGCUCAGGAGGUUUCGGCGCUUUCGCCUGAUGUGAUCAUUCUCGAUGUUUCGGGAAUGACGUGCGGUGGAUGUGCUGCGACUGUAAAGAGGAUUCUGGAAAGUCGUCCCCAAGUGUCAUCUGCUAGUGUGAAUCUAACUACAGAGACAGCAAUAGUUUGGCCUAUAUCUGAAGCAAAAAAGGCACCAAAUUGGCAGAAGCAUUUAGGGGAGGCACUUGCAGAGCAUUUGACUAACUGUGGAUAUAGCUCCAGCCUUCGAGACUCGGGAAGAGACAAUUUCAUCCAAAUUUUUGAAAGAAAGAUGGAGGAAAAGCGCAAACAAUUAAGACAAAGUGGUCGCGAGCUAGCUGUUUCUUGGGCUCUUUGUGCUGUUUGUCUUGUUGGCCAUCUCUCUCAUUUCUUUGCAGCUAGGGCACCGUGGAUUCAUGCAUUUCAUUCUGUUGGAUUUCAUGUGUCACUGUCUUUGUUUACAUUGCUUGGUCCUGGUCGCCAGCUUAUCUUAGAUGGACUAAAAAGCCUUCUUAAAGGGGCACCAAACAUGAACACCUUAGUUGGUCUUGGGGCCUUGUCAUCAUUUACAGUCAGUUCAUUUGCUACGCUGCUACCAAAAUUGGGUUGGAAAGCUUUCUUUGAGGAACCAAUUAUGCUGAUUGCAUUUGUCUUGUUAGGAAGGAAUCUUGAGCAGAGAGCAAAAAUUAAAGCAACAAGUGAUAUGACAGGACUUCUUAGUUUACUACCAUCAAAAGCCCGCCUUCUUGUUAAUAAUGGGAAAACAGAAGUUGAAUCAGUUGUUGAAGUUCCUUCUGACAGUCUUUCUGUGGGAGACCAAAUUAUUGUGUUGCCUGGAGAUCGUAUCCCAGCAGAUGGAAUUGUCAGAUCUGGUAGAAGCACUGUAGAUGAGUCAAGUUUCACUGGUGAGCCACUUCCAGUAACAAAAUUACCAGGGAGUGAUGUUGCAGCUGGAAGUAUAAAUCUUAAUGGAACUCUCACAAUGGAAGUAAGGAGACCAGGCGGUGAGACUGCUAUGGGGGACAUUGUACGUCUCGUUGAAGAGGCACAAAGCAGGGAAGCUCCAGUACAGAGAUUGGCUGAUAAGGUGGCUGGACACUUCACUUAUGGGGUGAUGGCAGUCUCUUUCACCACUUUUACAUUUUGGAGUCUAUUUGGCAAACAUGUUUUACCUACUGCUUUAUACCAAGGAAGUGCAGUUUCAUUGGCUCUGCAGCUUGCUUGCAGUGUUCUGGUUAUUGCUUGUCCAUGUGCACUCGGAUUAGCCACACCUACUGCUGUGCUGGUUGGAACUUCUUUGGGGGCUACAAGAGGUUUGCUGUUGCGUGGUGGAAACAUUCUAGAGAAGUUUGCCAUGGUAGAUACAGUUGUAUUUGACAAAACAGGAACCCUUACAGUUGGUCGACCUGUUGUGACAAAGGUUAUUGCUCCUUCAUGUGAACAAAAUGCAAAUUCAAGCCAAGCAGAAGAGAAUACAUGGUCUGAUGUCGAAGUUUUGAGGUUAGCAGCUGCAGUAGAAUCGAAUUCAGUACAUCCAGUCGGGAAAGCUAUUGUGGAUGCUGCUCAGAAAGUUAAUUGUACUAAUGCUAAGGUUGCAGAUGGAACAUUCCUUGAAGAACCUGGUUCUGGUGCAGUAGCAACUGUUGAUAACAAAAAGGUCUCUGUUGGGACAUUGGAUUGGAUCACCAGGCAUGGGGUUAGCAGCAAGAUACAUCAAGAAUUGGAGGAUUUUAAAAAUCAAUCUGUUGUCUAUGUUGGAGUAAAUGAUACUCUAGCUGGCCUUAUUUAUUUUGAAGAUGAGAUAAGGGAAGAUGCAAAACACGUUGUUGAUCAAUUGUCUAAGCAAGGUAUUGGAGUAUACAUGCUGUCUGGAGACAAAAGGAAUGCAGCUGAGCAUGUUGCAUCCCUUGUUGGAAUCUCUAAAGAGAAGGUUCUAUCUGGAGUGAAACCAGAUGGGAAAAAAAAGUUCAUAAAUGAACUACAGAAAGAUCAGAAGAUUGUAGCUAUGGUUGGUGAUGGAAUUAAUGAUGCAGCUGCCCUGGCCUCUUCACAUAUUGGUAUCGCAUUAGGUGGAGGUGUUGGAGCUGCUAGUGAGGUGUCUUCUAUUGUAUUGAUGCGCAACCAGCUCUCACAGUUAGUUGAUGCUUUGGAGCUCAGCAGGCUAACCAUGAAUACUGUAAAACAAAAUCUUUGGUGGGCCUUCAUAUACAACAUUGUAGGGAUUCCAAUUGCUGCUGGAGUGUUAUUCCCUAUAAAUGGAACCAUGCUGACUCCAUCAAUUGCUGGGGCUCUCAUGGGGUUGAGUUCCAUCGGUGUAAUGACCAACUCGUUACUUUUAAGAUUCAGAUUUUCUGCAAAGCAGAAACAAAUACAUGGCAUGUUGCCGAAGACCAAAAUCUAUGCAGAUUCUGACCUGGAAAACCAAAACCAGAAACUGAAAUACCGGUAUUAGAUGUUAGGAGGCUCCUCCUAAUAGCAUAGAAACGAGGUUCCCAUCCUGAUGGCAGGUUAAGUAGAGCAUGCUAGGAUUACUGCAUAAUGCCGGCUUUGCAUGGGGAUAUUAGGUGAGGCAUCAUCCUUAGGCUACCCUUAUAAGGAUGAGGAAUUUUAAUAUGGGUCAUGCUAUCCAUACUCUCUGAAUUGGAUCCUCUACAAGGAGAGUAGUUAUAAAUAAUAAAGUGAAGAAUUGAUCAAUUGCUUUUAUUGUGCAUGGAUUUCACCGAACUGAUUUAAAGUAGCUAAGCUUGUGGCAGCGUCGUUUGUGUCAAAAUAACUUAUCCUUCCAAUGUUCUUGCAUCGGGAUCCCUUGCAAUCUCAUGAAAUUCAUUCGUGUAUAAUGCCUUUUUUGUAUUUGCAAAUAUUACAUUUCAUAUUCUGUGAGAAAAAUAUCUUCAUAUUGCACCUCAACAAUUUUUUAUUUAAUAUUGGAUUUAAUUUAUACAUAUGGAUGAUAAUGUAAA